CACGUAGGGGUAAGCGUUGUUCGGAAUUACUGGGCGUAAAGGGCUCGUAGGCGGCCAACUAAGUCAUACGUGAAAUCCCUCAGCUUAACUGGGGAACUGCGUGUGAUACUGGAUGGCUUGGAUUUGGGAGAGGGAUGCGGAAUUCCAGGUGUAGCGGUGAAAUGCGUAGAUAUCUGGAGGAACACCGGUGGCGAAGGCGGCAUCCUGGACCAAUAUUGACGCUGAGGAGCGAAAGCCAGGGGAGCAAACGGG
rnacentral:rRNA from 1 species